GAAAUCAUUUUUAUACUUUUAUUUUGUUCUGCACAUUUUAGGCCUGAAUGCAACUUGAGUGCUAGGAACAUAUGGUAUCAAUUAAGUGACGUAGUUUAGAGGGUCUUCUGUGGGAUGCUGGUGUAUCAUAUUACUGUUCCAAUAGGAUUCCGUUACGUAUACCCUAACCAAAUGUAAAGGGGUAUAUAUUGGCAUGACGACAAGGAUAAGGUCUCUUUCCACGCUCUCAUCUUCAUCUCACCAAGAUACUAAGCCUACAGUACCUUUUAUCAACAUUUGUUCCAGCAUUGGUAUUGUAUGAAUUGAUAAUUUGUCAUCGAAUAAACCUAAUUAAUAGACUUUGAAGCUGUGGUCUUGAUUGCUGUUUGAUCACUGGAGAAGCUUAGAUAUUCAAGACAAAGAAUAUUCUAACAAAUUGGCGAGCCAGCCAGUCUUUAGUCAGUUUUCUACGGCGAGCCUUUACUGCACGUUUGUUUUUUACUUUUCCUCUUCCGACAAAGGGGGGAUAGUGUGCAGUUGUCUGAAGAGAUCAAAGAGAUCCUCUGACUAAAAACAAAAACCUAGCAGUGUGAUCAGAAGAAAGUGUAAUCCGACACUACCAGACCAUUACCAGACCACGUGGUGAGAAGGAAGAGCAUUCCAGAACCGUGUAUCGUAGUGAGAGCAGACUGAGCAAGCAACUGAUCUACGUGUGUACAAAACAGAUCCAUGGGUGAUGCAGACUCCAACAAAAGUUCCUUAUGGCAAAGACAUUUGACUUUCAAGAAGAGACAAUCUUUUUUGUUUAUAGCAGUUCUGAUGACGACAAUACUGAUGAUUGACUGUUUUAAGGAGGAUCCACAAAUUGAAGAAGAUCUACAGAUUCGACAACUAACUAGCCAAAUUAACGAAACUCAAGUGUUCCCAGACAUUAAUAGAAAGAAGAGAGAAAUGGAUGAUUUUAAUGGGCAUGUGUGUUUUGGUGUAAUGAAAGGGUACUUAUCAGUAUGUAACAUUAGAAUUAACUUUACUAGACAAAGUAAUGUAAGGUUAAAUGUUACAAUAGGGCCUAAACAUUUAUUUAGUUGGACUAAAGGGACCUACACACAAGAUGAUGAUAAAUUUGGGUCUUGGGAUCAUAUUAUAAAUGAAGUAGCGUACUUGAGUGUAGUUAUACAUGGUGAUGUGAUGGUAAAUUGGUCUGGAGAUCUAGCACCAAAUACUCCAGGCUUGACAGUAACUAAAGAUGGAGAAACUAGAACAAAGGUAUUAUACACGGAACAAGUAUGGUAUAAAUUUCUGCAACCAGGAAUAAUACUACAAAAAUAACAUAUCAAAUACACCUAAAGUAUGGAAAAUACAAGCAUUUAGGGAUUCAAAGUUUGUAAAUGUGGAAAUGGCAAUAACUGUUACAGAUUUGAUUAUUCCUAAUAUAGAAGUAUUUCCUAAUUCUAUAGAGAUCCUAGAAGGAAGGGAUCAAUUAGUGUUGACAUGUAGUAUUGAGUCGGUGUUAUCUCCUGAGUCUUUAAUGACAUGGACUAAGGGUGAUGAGUUCCUGGGAAGUUUUUCUAAUGCAAAUCCGAGUAUGAUACAUAGAGGUCUAGUAGGUAGAGUAGAAUGGUCUGAGAAGAGAUUUACAUAUCAUCAAGACCGGCCUACUCUCAAUGACAAUGGGAAUUAUCAGUGUUGUUUAAGAUUGAAAAAUUCUGAAAGGAAAUGUGUAGGUGUAAAUGUUACUGUCAUCUCACCAACAAUAUCUGUGUGUGAAAACAAAAUCUUUAAAGAAUCAAGUCCAUUUCAGGUAAACUAUCUCCAUUCCAAA